CCGAGGGGCUCACUAGGUUGACCAGGCUGGUCUUGAACUCCUGGCCUCAAGCCAUCCUCCCACCUCAGCCUCCCAAAGUGCUGGGAUUACAUGCAUGAGCCACCACAUCCAGCCUACCUAAAAUAUUGAAUGCUGUUAAUAAAUCUCCUGAGGCCAGCAUAAGAAGGUGAUGGGCAAAACUAAUGCAGGGUUUCAGUUGUGCAAUUUCACCAUUAGGAAAGCUUUUUGCUGAAAUCUGGCUUUUCAAAGGGAGAGUAUCCAGAAACAGAAGAUGCUGAUCUGGGAGGCUCUUCCUAAUAGAACUGCCGCUUCAGUUUAACUUGAAAAAGCCCACACCCAGUUCCUAAUGACAAACAUCUGAACACCGGGUCUUCCCACGAGCAAGACCAUGCUAUGCCUCCUGCUCGCUCUGUUCUAUAAGCAACCCACAGAUUGCUCCCUGUGAAGAGGAGCCUGCCAGGGGAGCAGCAUUCCACCAGACCCUGAUUUAGCAAGAUAUUUCCGUAUCAUUCCCCCAACCAGCUGGAAGUCCUCCACUGCUCUUGUGUAAAAAUCUAACUCAUCUCGCUGAAUUUCCUGAUUUAAAAGUCUGAUUCAUUUCACCAAAAGUGUGACAGAAGGAAACCAAGUACACCAUCUCUCUCUUACCAAACCAAAGCUAUUGCAUGUGCAUUCUGGGAGAAAAAAAUGGUCCAAAUAUGUUAUGGAGGGGGUGCCAG
rnacentral:lncRNA from 10 species